rnacentral:rRNA from 1 species
GAAAGCGAGUAAGGGUACACAGUGGAUGCCUAGGCGUCUCGUGCCGAGGAAGGACGUGUUAUACUGCGAAAAGCUUCGAUGAGGUGUAUAAGACCGUGAUAGUCGAAGAUAUCCGAAUGGGGAAACCCGGCGGGGUUCAAGCCCCGUCAUCCCGAUAAUACGGGAGGGGAACCGUCCGAACUGAAACAUCUAAGUAGGACGAGGAGAAGAGAGGAUUCCGCGAGUAGUGGCGAGCGAAAGCGGAGUAGCCCAAACCAUAUGCUACGGCGUAUGGGGUUGUAGGACUGGCGGUAGCGGCGCAAGCGUAAGACGAAGGGUCUGGGAAGGCCUGCCGUAGAGGGUGAGAGUCCCGUAGUCGUAAGCGAGCGUCGUGGUCAGUAUCCUGAGUAGCGCGAUACACGCUAACAUUGUGUGAAGCAGGGGGGUCCACCCUCCAAGGCUAAAUACGCGAGAUGACCGAUAGCGCAGCAGUACCGUGAGGGAAAGGUGAAAAGAACCCCGGCGAGGGGAGUGAAAGAGAAUCUGAAACUGUGUACUUACAACCGGUCGGAGGGGCGAGAGAUCGCCUUGACGGCGUGCCUUUAGGAGAAUGAGCCAGCGAGUUAAUGUGCGUGGCGAGCUUAAGGCGUUAAUAGCCGUAGGCGCAGGGAAACCGAGUCUGAAGAGGGCGAUUAAGUGGCGCAUAUUAGACACGAAACCAGGCGAGCUAACCAUGGCCAGGGUGAAGUUACGGUAACACGUAAUGGAAGUCCGGACCCACCGAUGUUACAAAAUCGGGGGAGGAGUUGUGGUUAGAGGUGAAAUGCCAAACGAGCCUGGAGAUAGCUUGUUCUCCCCGAAAUAGCUUUAGGGCUAGCGUUGUGAGAUGGGUGCCGGAGGUAGAGCACUGUAUGGGCUAGGGGGCGUCAAGCUUACUGAACCCAAACAAACUCCGAAUGCCGGUAUGCCGAUCACGGCAGUUGGACUGCUUGAGAUGAGUUAAGUAGUCAAGAGGGAAAGAGCCCGGACCCUCGUCUAAGGUCCCGGAAUGUAUGCUAAGUGUAAAACGAGGUGAGUGUGUUGAGACAGCUAGUAGGUUGGCUUAGAAGCAGCCACCCUUUAAAGAGUGCGUAACAGCUCCCUAGUCAAACGCAUUUGCGCGGAUAAUGUAACGGGUCUAAAGCAUACUACCGAAGACAGGGAUAGUUUCCGCACUAGCGGGAGUUAUGGUAGGGGAGCGUUCUGCGAGCGGGGAAGGUGUUCUGUGAGGGGCAUUGGAGUUUGCAGGAGUGCGAAUGCUGGCAUGAGUAGCGAGAAAUAGGUGAGAACCCUAUUCGCCGGAAGUCUAAGGUUUCCGACGGAAGGCCAGUCCGCGUCGGGUUAGUCGGUCCUAAGCCGAGGCUGAGAAGCGUAGGCGAUGGAUAACGGGUUAAUAUUCCCGUACCGGUAUGUGGAGUGUUUGCAGAAGCUUGUGGUAGAGUCAGCCUCUGAGUGGAUUGAGGUGGCAAGCGGGGCGAUCCCGUGAAGCCGUGCUUUCGGGCAAGAAGUGACAGUAUCCAUGGGACGAGAAAAGCUGCGAAGAUGAUGAAGCAUGCCGUCCGUACCGCAAACCGACACAGGUAGACGAGUAGAGAAUACGAAGGCGAACGGGAGAACCUCUGCUAAGGAACUAGGCAAAAUGGAUCCGUAACUUCGGGAGAAGGAUCGCCUGGUAGGGAUAUCAGGUUGCAGUGAAAAGGCUCUGCCGACUGUUUAACAAAAACACAGGUCUCUGCGAAAGCGCAAGCUGAAGUAUAGG